rnacentral:tRNA from 1 species
GGUGCAGCUCAGUGGUAGAAUGUAUGCCUGGUAUGCACAAGGUACUGGGUUCAAUCCUCUAGCACCA